UCUCGGUGCGUUUUCCCCUCAGCUUUUUCAGAAGGUCAAAGCAAUUAAGCUAACUAUCCCUAUUUCUUAUUACUAUUAAAUUUCCACCCACUUCCCCGCUGUCUGCAGGGAUUGAAAGUGCAGGAACUCAAACGCCGCAGGAAGGCUCUUUUCCAAUGCAAUGUUUGCUGCACUCCCCAAAGCACUGGAAAUCUACACCAAGAGACAGUGCCUGGACCCGAGGCAAGAUCCUCAGCUGGGAUAAAUCAGCUCCGCUUCCCUGUGGCCAAGGGAGGUAGGAAGAUGCACAGUGGUUCUGGACACAACCUGCCUUGUUUGGAGACUGGACCUCUUCUUUUCCCUGGUCAUGGACUUCAAGGACAGGACUCACCAAGGACCCUCAAGCCAAUGUUCUUUUUCCAUGGACCACAGGACUCACUGAGAUCAGUUCAAGCUUCAGAUCCAAAGACAAUGGUUGGAAUAAAACAGAUUUUUCUGGAAAAACUUCCAGUAUAAACAUUUUUUUUAUCCAUUGUGAGUUGUUCUGAUGAUGAAGUACUUUCUUACAGUAAAUUACUUUUAAUUAAAAAUGUAUUUCCAACCCCAGCCACUGGAUCUUGUUUUGUAUCUUUGUCUGCCAGACUAAAACAGUCUCUUGAGUUGUCUGUUAAUAUAUAGCUAUCUCUAGGUUGUAAUCAGACUACCUUCUGGUUUGCUGGUCCCUUUAGACCUCUCCCAGGUAUGUUUUUCAGUCCAGC
rnacentral:lncRNA from 1 species